rnacentral:rRNA from 1 species
UGGGGAAUAUUGCACAAUGGAGGGAACUCUGAUGCAGCGACGCCGCGUGAGUGAUGAAGGAAUUCGUUUCGUAAAACUCCGUUCUAUGGGAAGAAAAGGACUGUACCAUAGGAGAAAGCUCCGGCUAAAUACGUGCUAGCAGCCGCGGUAAUACGUAUGGAGCGAGCGUUGUCCGGAAUUAUUGGGCGUAAAGGGUGCGCAGGCGGCUUUACAAGUUGGAUGUGAAAUAUUGUGGCUCAACCACAAACGUGCAUCCAAAACUGCAAAGCUUGAGUUAAGGGGAGGUAAGUGGAAUUCCUGGUGUAGCGGUGGAAUGCGUAGAUAUCAGGAGGAAUACCGGUGGCGAAGGCGACUUACUGGACUUAAACUGACGAUCAGGCACGACAGCGUGGGGAGCAAACAGG